GCUUUUAUUAGAUCAAGACCAAUCGGACUUCGGUCCGUUUCUUGGUGACUCUGAAUAACUUUGUGCCGAUCGCAUGGUCUAGCACCGGCGACGCAUCUUUCAAAUGUCUGCCUUAUCAACUGUCGAUGGUAGGUUAUGCGCCUACCAUGGUUGCAACGGGUAACGGGGAAUCGGGGUUCGAUUCCGGAGAGGGAGCCUGAGAAACGGCUACCACAUCCAAGGAAGGCAGCAGGCGCGCAAAUUACCCACUCCCGGCACGGGGAGGUAGUGACGAAAAAUAACGAUGCAGGACUCAUCCGAGGCCCUGUGAUUGGAAUGAGUACACUUUAAAUCCUUUAACGAGGACCUAUUGGAGGGCAAGUCUGGUGCCAGCAGCCGCGGUAACUCCAGCUCCAAUAGCGUAUAUUAAAGUUGCUGCGGUUAAAAAGCUCGUAGUUGGAUAUCGGUCGCGAUCAGGUGGUGCCGCCUCGCGGUGUGCACUGCCUCGAUUGGACAAUCCACCGGACUGUCCGGGGUGCUCUUAACCGAGUGUCCUGGGUGGCCGGUACGUUUACUUUGAACAAAUUAGAGUGCUUAAAGCAGGUGCUCCGCGCCUGAAUAUCACAGCAUGGAAUGAUGGAAUAGGACCUCGGUCUUAUUUUGUUGGUUUUCUGGACUUGAGGUAAUGGUUAAUAGAGACAGACGGGGGCAUUCGUACUGCGACGCUAGAGGUGAAAUUCUUGGACCGUCGCAAGACGAACAACUGCGAAAGCAUUUGCCAAGAAUGUUUUCAUUAAUCAAGAACGAAAGUUAGAGGUUCGAAGGCGAUCAGAUACCGCCCUAGUUCUAACCAUAAACGAUGCCAACCAGCGAUCCGCAGACGUUACUUCAAUGACUCUGCGGGCAGCUUCCGGGAAACCAAAGUUUUUGGGUUCCGGGGGAAGUAUGGUUGCAAAGCUGAAACUUAAAGGAAUUGACGGAAGGGCACCACCAGGAGUGGAGCCUGCGGCUUAAUUUGACUCAACACGGGAAACCUCACCAGGCCCGGACACUGGAAGGAUUGACAGAUUGAGAGCUCUUUCUUGAUUCGGUGGGUGGUGGUGCAUGGCCGUUCUUAGUUGGUGGAGCGAUUUGUCUGGUUAAUUCCGAUAACGAACGAGACUCUAGCCUGCUAAAUAGAUGACGUAUCUUCGGGUACGUUACUCUUCUUAGAGGGACAAGUGGCGUCUAGCCAUAUGAAAGUGAGCAAUAACAGGUCUGUGAUGCCCUUAGAUGUCCUGGGCCGCACGCGCGCUACACUGAAAGAAUCAGCGCGU
rnacentral:rRNA from 1 species